rnacentral:lncRNA from 1 species
UUUAUACUAUUAGCAUAUAUAAUUAUAAAUUUUAAAAAAUAUAAAAAAAGAGCUAUAAAAUAAAGUAGGUUAAGUAAAAAAAAAUAAUAGCAAAUUUUAUUGUCAUUUUCAUCUUCAUCUUUUUCAUAAUCCAUAUAUUUCGGAAGUUCACGAAGUUUUUCAAUAAUUCGCGAAUAAUUCAGCAAUAAUUCGGAAUAGAAUUUUAUCCAAAAAAUUUGUGCAUUUUUUUGGCCGAAUAAUUCGGCAUACGCGAAUUAUUCGCGAAUAAUAAAUCUAACCCAAAAAUUCGCAUAUUAUUCUAAUUUUUUAGGAAUAAAUCGUAUACGGACCGUUUUAUUUAGAUUUUUAAUAAUUCGUGAAUAAUUUGCGAAUAAUACGCGAAUUAACUAACUACGUUCGUGCCUUUUUAAAACCAUCAAAUACUAAGUACUUAGAACUCUUUUAGUAUUAAAAUUAUUUUUUUGAUCAAAUUUUAUUUUUAAGAUUAUAGUAUCUUACCAACCACCCAUUGAAUCCUGCCCCAUCACCAUUAUUCUAGUCCUAUUUUCAUCCAAAAAUAAAAAUCUAUAAGCAUUUAAUGAUUUUGAUAUU